GCGAAUGGCUCAUUAAAUCAGUUAUCGUUUAUUUGAUAGUACCUUACUACAUGGAUAACCGUGGUAAUUCUAGAGCUAAUACAUGCUAAAAACCCCGACUUCGGAAGGGGUGUAUUUAUUAGAUAAAAAACCAAUGCCCUCCGGGGCUCCUUGGUGAUUCAUAAUAACUCAACGAAUCGCAUGGCCUUGCGCCGGCGAUGGUUCAUUCAAAUUUCUGCCCUAUCAACUUUCGAUGGUAGGAUAGUGGCCUACCAUGGCUUUCAACGGUGUACACGGGGUUUUAGAAGAACGACUCCGAGAGAAGGCGCCUGAGACGACGGCGACUACAUCCAAGGAAGGCAGCAGGCGCGCAAAUUACCCAAUCCCGACACGGGGAGGUAGUGACAAUAAAUACUGAUACAGGGCUCUUUUGGGUCUUGUAAUUGGAAUGAGUACAAUUUAAAUCCCUUAACGAGGAACAAUUGGAGGGCAAGUCUGGUGCCAGCAGCCGCGGUAAUUCCAGCUCCAAUAGCGUAUAUUAAAGUUGUUGCAGUUAAAAAGCUCGUAGUUGAACCUUGGGCCUGGCUGGUCGGUCCGCCUCACCGCGUGCACUGGUCCGGCCGGGCCUUUCCUCCUGGGGAGCCUCAUGCCCUUUACUGGGUGUGCAGGGGAACCAGGACUUUUACUUUGAAUAAAUUAGAGUGUUCAGAGCAGGCAUAUGCUCGAAUACGUUAGCAUGGAAUAGUGAUAUAGGACGUGUGGUUCUAUCUUGUUGUGUUUCUAGGACCGCCGUAAUGAUUAGUAGGGAUAGUCGGGGGGCGUCAGUAUUCCGUUGCCAGAGGUGAGAUUCUUGGAUUUACGGAAGACUAACUACUGCGAGAGCAUUCGCCAGGGAUGUUUUCUUUACUCAGUGAACGAAAGUUAGGGGAUCGAAGACGAUCAUAUACCGUCGUAGUCUUACCAUAAACGAUGCCGACUAGGGAUCGGGCGGUGUAUUCUAUU
rnacentral:rRNA from 1 species